rnacentral:misc_RNA from 1 species
UUGCGUUGUCAUGGAAUAUUGUCGGCGGGUUCGCGGGCUAUCCUUCGUUUGCGACAGCGGCAUUCUUUGGGCUCGGCGCGUACACAACUGGUGUGCUUAUGUCACGUGGCGUGCCUCUUGGCGUCGCCGUCGCUGCCGCAUGGGUCGCGUCAUUCGUUCUUGCGGGUUNGCUGCGCUGUUGCGCUUGCGCGGGCAUUACUUCGCCAUCGCCAGCCUCUCGCUGAUCGAAG